GGGCGGGUAACCUAGAGGCUAGGUGGCGGACUGCAGAUCCGCAUACGUGGGUUCAAAUCCCACCCCGCCCU
rnacentral:tRNA from 1 species